rnacentral:rRNA from 1 species
GGCGAACGCUGGCGGCGUGCUUAACACAUGCAAGUCGAACGGAAAGGCCCUGCUUUUGUGGGGUGCUCGAGUGGCGAACGGGUGAGUAACACGUGAGUAACCUGCCCUUGACUUUGGGAUAACUUCAGGAAACUGGGGCUAAUACCGGAUAGGAGCUCCUGCUGCAUGGUGGGGGUUGGAAAGUUUCGGCGGUUGGGGAUGGACUCGCGGCUUAUCAGCUUGUUGGUGGGGUAGUGGCUUACCAAGGCUUUGACGGGUAGCCGGCCUGAGAGGGUGACCGGCCACAUUGGGACUGAGAUACGGCCCAGACUCCUACGGGAGGCAGCGGUGGGGAAUAUUACACAAUGGGCGGAAGCCUGAUGCAGCAACGCCGCGUGCGGGAUGACGGCCUUCGGGUUGUAAACCGCUUUCGCCUGUGACGAAGCGUGAGUGACGGUAAUGGGUAAAGAAGCACCGGCUAACUACGUG